AGUCAUAUGCUUGUCUCAAAGAUUAAGCCAUGCAUGUCUAAGUAUAAGCAACUUGUACUGUGAAACUGCGGAAUGGCUCAUUAAAUCAGUUAUCGUUUAUUUGAUAGUACCUUACUACAUGGAUACCUGUGGUAAUUCUAGAGCUAAUACAUGCUAAAAACCCCGACUUCAGGAAGGGGUGUAUUUAUUAGAUAAAAAACCAACGCCCUUCGGGGCUCCUUGGUGAAUCAUAAUAACUUAACGAAUCGCAUGGCCUUGCGCCGGCGAUGGUUCAUUCAAAUUUCUGCCCUAUCAACUUUCGAUGGUAGGAUAGUGGCCUACCAUGGUGGCAACGGGUAACGGGGAAUUAGGGUUCGAUUCCGGAGAGGGAGCCUGAGAAACGGCUACCACAUCCAAGGAAGGCAGCAGGCGCGCAAAUUACCCAAUCCCGAUACGGGGAGGUAGUGACAAUAAAUACUGAUACGGGGCUCUUUUGGGUCUCGUAAUUGGAAUGAGAACAAUUUAAAUCCCUUAACGAAGAACAAUUGGAGGGCGAGUCUGGUGCCAGCAGCCGCGGUAAUUCCAGCUCCAAUAGCGUAUAUUAAAGUUGUUGCAGUUAAAAAUCUCGUAGUUGAACCUUGGGUCUGGCUGGCCGGUCCGCCUCACCGCGAGUACUGGUCCGGCUGGACCUUUCCUUCUGGGGAACCUCAUGGCCUUCACUGGCUGUGGGGGGAACCAGGACUUUUACUGUGAAAAAAUUAGAGUGUUCAAAGCAGGCCUUUGCUCGAAUACAUUAGCAUGGAAUAAUAGAAUAGGACGUGUGGUUCUAUUUUGUUGGUUUCUAGGACCGCCGUAAUGAUUAAUAGGGAUAGUCGGGGGCGUCAGUAUUCAGCUGUCAGAGGUGAAAUUCUUGGAUUUGCUGAAGACUAACUACUGCGAAAGCAUUCGCCAAGGAUGUUUUCAUUAAUCAGGGAACGAAAGUUAGGGGAUCGAAGACGAUCAGAUACCGUCGUAGUCUUAACCAUAAACUAUGCCGACUAGGGAUCGGUACGGGAUUCUAUAAUGACCCGUUCGGCACCUUACGAGAAAUCAAAGUUUUUGGGUUCUGGG
rnacentral:rRNA from 1 species